GCAGCUAUAGCUCAAUUGGAUAGAGCAUUUGACUACGAAUCAAAAGGUUGCAAGUUCGAAUCUUGUUAGCUGUACCA
rnacentral:tRNA from 2 species